rnacentral:tRNA from 1 species
GGCUCCUUGGUCAAGCGGUUAAGACACCGCCCUUUCACGGCGGUAACACGGGUUCGAGUCCCGUAGGGGUGA